GAAGUGUGAACCCAUUUAGACCAGAGGUGGGAGCAGUUUUCCUUAACUUUUCAUUUCUAUCCCGCUGUCCGUGUGCUCGUUUGACCAAAAAGCAGAGAAUGGAUUUCCAUCACCAAAGUGCCCCCUCCUCCAAAGGCGCGAGCAGUUUCACCCUAUAAUACGGUACAGACGGGGGCAAGGGCGUUCUGAGCCUUCACUGAAGCAAGACUGCAGAUCCACAAGGCCAGGAUUUCACUAACUCUGCCUGAGAUGCCGUGGGACGGAAGCCACAGGAGACGGACACUUACCGGGGUGGCCCGACAGACUCUCCGGAGUUUCAGAUGCAGUGCACGUUUCCAGAGAUUCCUUGCCAAGCCUGUUUCCAAGAGUAACAGUAAGAUGCACAGGGCUCCGAGAAACAGCCUUCUGCCGAAAAGGUGUUCCUUUCCCAUUCUGGUGUCGCUGAGAUCCGAUUUCUCAGGGAGCCAAAUAAGAUGAAGAGCCCAGUUCUGUCAGAAUGCGGAUGACUGAAGCCAGAGCUGAGGGAGAGAAGGACUCGGUGAAGCCAACGGCUUCCCCGUGUAGCCUCAGCCCUUAGCGUGGGUUGUCGAUCUAAAGCUGGGAGCCGCUGAACUUUCUUGGUGAAACUCAGAUCGGGGCCUCAGAUCUGGAGUCCACAGGCGGGCGCACGCACCUCCUUCAGUCAUAGAUGGGAAGAUUAUUUUUAGACCUUUGUUCACCACAUCUGGCACUCGGAGAGCUACAUUCAAAGCCAAGGCAUCGGAUCAGAUGACAGCUGCAGGGGAAUGGGAAAAAAAAAAAAAGAUCUUGGAGAUGUGGGCUGGGCAGUUUUUAAAUAAGCGGUUUCCCAGGACUUUCCCACUUAACAAGCGCUUCUCCCGGGCACCGGCCUCUCCCCCCAGUAGGCAUAUUGCUCUGGGGGUCUGCACCCUACUGGGACACAAAUACACAAAGUGGGGAUGUAAUUAGUGCACCAAGGGGAUUCAUUUCCUGAGCCUGUUAAAAUAAACAUGAUAAUGUAGCUGUUGCUAAUAAAGUCAAGUACGUUCAGUU